rnacentral:rRNA from 1 species
GACAGAGGGUGCAAACGUUGUUCGGAUUUACUGGGCGUAAAGCGCGUGUAGGCGGCUUUGCAAGUCGGAUGCGAAAGCCCACGGCUCAACCGUGGAAGUGCAUCCGAAACUGCAUGGCUGGAGUCUCGGAGAGGAAGGUGGAAUGCUUGGUGUAGAGGUGAAAUUCGUAGAUAUCAAGCAGAACACCUGCGGCGAAGGCGGCCUUCUGGACGAUGACUGACGCUGAGACGCGAAAGCGUGGGGAGCAAACAGG